UGGUUUAUGGUUCAUCAUGAUUAACAUAGCAUCUUCAGUAAUAGAGAAAAAUACAAUACAGUACUGUAUGUAAUUUGUAAUAUGACUUGAAAAUAAAAGGAUAAGCUGCAUCAGGUUAUUUACUCAAGAUGUGUUAUUGUGAGAGCUUUCAGCAAACUGGCUUACAACAGGGUCACUAUAACACAGUGUAUAGUAAUUGAUAUGAAGUUACCUUUCUAAAAACGUUAUUUACUACCUGUGAGUGUUAUAUGAUGACUCAGUUUGGCUACUUGUACACUUAGACAAAUGAUUAAUGAAUAAACCAGGGUAUAUGCUGAUACAUAAAACUUUACACUACAAUAUUGCUUAUCAAGUGAUGGUAAAUACACUACAAUAGUAUUUAUUAAGUGGUGAUAAAUACACUACAAUAGUAUUUAAGCAGUGUUGUACGUUGACGCCGUUAAUUUAACGCCAUCAAUGGACGGCGGCAACUUUUUGUUAACGCUGACGCCAUAAAUUUUUGGGGCAGGUGACGCAGUCAACUUUUCACCCGAGCGGAGCGUCAAUUUGUUCGUCAACUUGUAAAAUUUUUUCUUUUUCCAAGUUCGAUUUUCAAUUAUCUUGCUAUAAAGACGACCGGGAGAAAUUUUGCCACGCCCACCAGCCGCGCACCUGCGCAGCUUUCUACAGAUUUGAAUUUUCAAGUUUGAACCAGAAUUGUACUUGCUUCCUGACCGUUAGCAUUGUGGUGUGAAAAUGUGCGACCGAAAACAUGAUUCACAACGGAGCCGGCGGCGAGAGGGGCGCUGUUGCACCCGGGACAGUGCAGAGCAGGGGCACUGGGGCAGUGUGGUGAGGAGCGCGAGGGGUAGUGUGUGUUUGCGCAGAGUGGUGGCAAGGCAGCGUGUUGAGUGUGCAGAAGAGGGUAGUGACUGUGUCAAUGGUGACCAGUGGUGAUCAAGCGAGUAACGCCAGCCUCCAGAUCCAGGCUAAUACCUCCAGCUCUGCCACAAGUGAGAUGUCCCAAUCCUCCCGGGACAAGGAAGGGCGACAGGGGACCGGGAAUGUCCAGCCAAAUCGAGGUCCUUGGCCCUACAUCAGCAAGUACUUCAAGUAUGUCUCCUUCAAGGGGGACACCUUGUACUGCCAGUGCCAGAUGUGUCUGCCCGCAAAGAAGAUGUUCUCUUGCACCGAGAAGUCGCAGAAUGGCCUGAAAAGUCACUACCAGCACAUUCCUGCCUCCUGCUUUAAGGAAUUCAAGUACUGUAUGGCCGAAGGCAGCAAGGCAUCCAGGUCGAAGAAGCGACCCCUUGAGCAAGAAGGCCAGAACAAGAGGAAGAGGAAGGAGUUGGUGCAGCCUACCUUGACGGCCGCCCUGGCAGGGCCGUCGAAGUACAGCCAGUCUUUCAUAGACGAUACGGUAAUUUAACUAUUUAAGUUUAUUUAUUAUUUUUUUCUACACAGUUUUUAAUCAAUCCUUCAUUCAUUGGGAAGCAUUUCAUGCAGUUGACUACUGAAUUCAGUGAAUUGAUGUCAAGACUGAAAAUUCAAUAAUUUUAUUAAAAUCUAAACUAUUUAAAUGUAACAAUUUGUGAUUUUAAAUUGAUACAUUCCUUCUGUUCUAACAGAUCAUCGACUUCGUCAUAGAAGACAUGCUGUCGAUGAGCGUGGUGGAGUCACGUGCCUUCAACGAGCUUGUCAACCUUAUACCUGGCCACAACAAGAACUCUAUGAUCAGAAGAAAAGUCAUUAAGCGUAUUGAAGACAGUUAUGAGCUUCAAAAGGAGCAGCUCUAAAACACCCUGAGCAAUUUGCCUUGUGUUGCCACAACUGCCGACGCUUGGACAUGCAGAAACAGGUCUUACUUGGGCACAACAGUCCACUGGAUUGACCCCGAGGCCUUAAAAAGGCAGCAAAGGGUGUUGGCCUAUCAACGUUUGCUGGGCAGACACACAUACGACCACUUAGCCAAGACCAUCCAUGACAUCCAUUUCAUUUUUGGCAUUACCAACAACGUCGUCAGCACCACCACAGACAACGGCACCAAUUUCGUCAAGGCAUUCAGUGUCUUUGGCGAGCCUGAUGAAGACUGGGUACUGGUAGAGGACCCCCCUCAGGUGGAGCCUGACGACGAAGGCGAAUCAGACGACCAUGUCGAGGUGGAUGAUGUGGCAGCUAUUCUGGCCAAUGGAGAGGAGACUCUCUAUGAGCUGCCCAAGCACUUGAGGUACACCGCCCACACCCUGAACCUUGUGGCCACCACUGACGCCGAGAAGGCCUUCUCCGACAACAACUACAAGGCCAACCAUUCUGCCUUUGGCAAGGCUCUCUCUCUUUGGAACAAGCAGCAUAGGAGUUCCCAAGCCUCAGACAUCAUGAGUCAGGAGGUUGGGAAGCUGCUUGUCGAGCCCAACGCCACCAGGUGAAACUCGGUGUACGACGCGGUCGUCAGGCUGGUCAACAUGUUUGACAACAAAGAGACGGACCUUCAGAAUGCAUGUCGAAAACUGGAAAUUCAUUUCUUUACAACAUACGACAUUGCAUUCUUAAGGGAGUACAAAGAUGUCAUGGGUCCCAUUGCCGUCGGUUUGAAUUUCCUGCAAGGGGAGGAAAUGAUCUACUUGGGCUGCCUGUUGCCCACGUUCGCCAGUGUCCUCAACAGUCUCGCGGCAAAGGAGGUGGACAAUUACCUUGAGUUUGGCUACCUCUUCCACGACAUGGACUGCACCCCAACUACAGGCUGUCACGCUGGCUCAUCAACAUUAAUGCAGAGGAAGUCAGGAAAAAGGCCACCAACCAGCUGUCCAGGUUGGUGGAGAAGUCCGUGCACGAGACUGAGAGCAGCAGCAGCAGUGAGGGAGACGACAAAGACCAUGACGUGGAGGACGAAUUGUCCCAGACCCGACCCUGUACGAGACCCCCUGCACGAAUGAAAAAGACAGUGACCUUUUCAAGCGUUUCCUGGGGGAGAAACCUUUGAAAAAAACUUUUGACAAGGACACCUUCCCCAACAAGGCCAUGAGGGAGCUGUUCAUCAAAUACAACACCCCCAUCCCCUCUAGUGCUGCCGUGGAGCUCAUGUUCUCCAUGGGCAAGUACGUCUUGAAGCCCAAGCGCAGCAGAAUGAGCGACAAGCAUUUUGAGUUGCUAAUAUUCUUGAGGGGGGAACAAAUGAAUAAUUAAAAUUAUAUAAUAUAAAUCAUAAUAAAUUAUUAAAAAUGAAUGAAUAUUUUUUUAUUUUGCAUAUGUUACUCCCAUACACAGGAGAAUAUGCAUUUUGGGGCUGCAUUUGUACGUCACUGAAAACUCGUUGACGCUAGGUGUUGACGCUGACGCUACCAGCGUCAAUUUAUUAAUCUUUUUCGCCAACACUGAUGGCAUCAAAUUUCUCGGCGGUUUACGCUGACAGCGCCACUUUUUUCUUGUUGACGAGUACAACACUGUAUUUAAGUGAUGAUAAAUUCACAUCUGUACUGUACUAUUUUACUAAGUGUUGAAGACAGACAUUGUGGUAAGCAAAUCAGCUGUUUGCUCUUUGUAAACAUAUGACUCCGUUCAGAGUGGGAUUCUUUAUUUCAGGAAAGCCGAUUCUUUUAGGAUAAUAUUUUAUCACCCUGGCACCAAAUGAUCCUAAAUUAUAUGAGAAUUAUUGUAAAAUUGCAUAAAGAAGUGUUAAAGGAAUCUUGGGGGAAGAAUACCCACCUGUGCUACCCCUCCUCCCCUCUGCUCCCAGAUAAACAUUCGUCUUCCACAUACUUAUUUGUUCUUAUUUUUAUCUUUAUAGUACUGUACAGUAUACAGUUUUCUCUUUAUUCAUAAGACAAAUUCAGUGGUUACUUACAUAUAACACUUUACAGUAAAUAAUAAUCAUCUCGGUGACAACCAGACUUACUGGGGGUAUAUGUCUGAUUUUCAACCCAGAGUUGUAUUUCAUAUUUUUUUUUAUUGUUGAUGUAAUAUUCUUUUAAUAACC